UUGGAGUCGGGAAUGUUCUGGAUGCUGAACCGGGACACUUGACUUCUACUAACCUGCGCACGGAAACAACCGUACGCUGAGUAUGGAUAUACUCAGUGAUAUUACCAUAAUUCAAAUUAUAUCAACAAUAGUAAAAACAUAAAUAUUAAAAUACCUAACAAUUAAUGUCAUAUGUACUAAUUCAUAAAUCAAUGUAUUUUCUCAAACUUAAAUUUAUAUCACUUAUGAAUAUACAUUUCAUACUUUUCUCUUAUUAUCACAAUUCCAAUUUCAAUUCGUAAUUCAAUUUAUUUUUCUCGUUUCAAUGCCUCAAAUUCACAUUUCAAUUUUUCACCCUAUUAACGUAACUCGGACUUUGGCGGAUACACGGAUCCAACCAAACACACCAAUAUGGCACCCAGUGCCUCAUCGGAUAGUUCGAAGUAAUAGUUGACAUCCAGUGUCUCAUCGACCUAGCCGAAGUAAAGUUGGUACCCAGUACCUCAUCGAAUCUAUCCGAAGAAAUAUAGUGACACCCAGUGUCUCAUCGACUCGAGGUCGAAGUAUCCCUGAACACUUCCAAUCCUAUGGCAUGCCAACUAUAUCCGACUCAGCCCGACUAGUUAAUAGGGUAUUCAAUUCACUUUCUCAAUCCUAUAUCACUUUCAAUUCACAAUUCAAAUCACCAAUCAUUUUUCAAUCAAUACGCUUUUCAAAUAAUUACAUCUUCCAUAAUUCACUUAUUCAAUUCAAUUUGAUUCAAUUUGCAUCACUUUCAUUUUCACUCAAUAUUCAUAUCAAUUUCACAUACUUACCUCAAGUCUUACUUACCAUACAUAACAAUAAAAAAUUUCAGCAAUCAAUAAUAAUUAAAAUUCGAAUUAUAGUAAUACACACCGUAAUUCUCCCGUUUUAGUACUCGAUGACUUUCUCCUUUCCUUUCGAUGCUGAUGCUUCAGGUUCUUUGUUGGCUACGAAAAUAAUAAUUUAUAAUCAUCAAUACAACAUGAUUCAAUUUAAUUCAUGAGCCUAAACAUGCAAAUUUAACCAUUUUUAAUGUAUAUAUAUAAUUUCACCAUUAAGCUGUCUACUUGAGUCAUUGUUACUAAAUUAUUUCUAUCUUGAGCUAAGAAACUCCAAAUUAAUAUCCGUAAAUUUUCCUUAAAACUAGACUCAUAUAUCUUCUAAUCAUAAAAUUUCCAGAAUUUUUGGUCUAGCCAUUUAAUACAGUUUAUUCGUUAAAUACUCCCCUGUUAUUUCAUUUGACAGUUCUGACCUCUCUCUACUAAAACUAAAUUGUCUCAUUGUACAGAACUCGAAUAAGGUUCUUGUUUAUUUAUUUUGAAACUAGAUUCAUUAAGGAGUUCACAUAUAUAAAUUACACUCCAUAAUAAUUUUUGUACAAUUUUUAAUGAUUUUCCAAAGUUAAAAUAGGGCAUCUCGAAAUCACCCCGAACCAGUAUUACAAAAUUUCAAAUAUCUCUUGAUUCAUCAAUUAAUUGCUUACACUGUUUCUACUAUAAGAAACUAGACUCAAUAAGCUUUAAUCCCAUAUUUUGUUCAUCCUCUAGUUCAAUUUAUAAAAUUUUUAGUGAAUUUUCAAAGUCAGACCAUUGCUACUUCCCAAAACUGUUUUGAUGAAAAAUGUUAAUAACCAAAUUUAUAACACCAAUUCACACCUUAUUCCUAUUCAAAUUUCAUUUAAACUCAAAUUUAACUAUUAAAUCUUCAACAUAUUUUCUUAAUUCCGAAUUUUCCUCAAUCUAGUCCCUAAAACACAAAACUUAUAGCUUACUUUGCAAUUCAAUCCUUAUAUCUAUUCUAACUUGAAUUUCGUUCAAUUAAACCCCUAUUUCAUCAUUUUAUUCAACAUGAACUUUGUUUAAAAACCUAAGAAAUUCCAAACUAACAACUUAAUUUCAUCAAAAACAACUUGUUUUAAGACUUCUAAAAUAUCAAAAUUGUGAGAAAAGGACUUGAUUGAGCUUACCAAUUAACUCCAAGCUUCAUAAACCUUAUUUCCCCUUUUCUUUCUUCUUUCCUUUCUUUCUCCCCUGUUCUUCUCUGUUUCGUUUGCUUUCAUUCUGUUUCUUUUAACUUAUUUGUUUCUUUUAUAUAUAAUAAUAUAAUAUAAUAUAAUAUAAUAUAAUGUACUUAAUUAUUAAAUAAAUAUAUAUAUUUUUUAAUCAAUAAAAUCUUUGAUAUUUUCCACGUUAAACCGCCUCAGCUAUAGGAAAUGGUUUAAUUUCCUCUUAAGUCCUUCUAAUUUUUCUUUAAUCUAUAAUUAAACUUUUACUCUUAUUCAAUUUAAUCUUUUUUACUAAUUACUCUAAAUUAAGCUAAAUUUACUUAAUUAAAACCUAAUUAAACACACUACUAGACUCAUAAAUAUUUUUAAUAAUUAUUUUCGAACUUAUUUCACUAAGACGGAGGCCCAAUAACGCACUUUUCUGGUGCCUACGGAUUUUGGGUUGUUACAAUAUGUACAGAAAGGAACUAUAGAAUUAUAAAGAUGAUUUUAGGAAAAUUAAAUGAAGAAAAGACUUUUGGUUAAGCGAAAAGAAAAGAAAUAAGAAAUCAAUUGAAUAAAAAGGAAAUAUAGGAUUAUAAGAAUAACUCCAAAGGUAAUCUACUAAAGGUUUUCGAUUCUUAUGAAAAGAAUUUUGUCAUUUAUAAUGAUGCUCCUUUAACUGUUUUAGUUGUGUUUUAAUGCAAGACUGGAAGUGAUUGUUUAUGCAUUUUGUCAACCAAAAAUGCAUGAACACAAUUAUUUGACACACGAUUUAGAACUAACUGUUAUGGUUUUUGCUCUAAAGACUUGAAUACACUAUUUGUAUAGUGAAAAUAUUAUAUUCAUACCGAUCAUAAGAGUUUCAAAUAUUUUCUAUCUAAAAAAAAAAGUUGAAUUUAAGACAGCGUUGUUAGAUAGAGCUUUUGAAAAAAAAUUUAUUGUGUUAUUGAUUAUUACCCUGAUAAAGCUAAUAUUGUUAUAGCUGAUGCAUUAAGUAGGAAAACAGCAAUUGAAUUGCGAACAAUGUUUACUCAACUUAGUAUCAAUGAUAAUGAAAGUUUAUUGGUUGAAUUAAAAAUCAAAUUGGUGAUGUUGAAUAGAUUAAGUCAGCACAGUUAAAAGAUGGCAAAUUGGUGAAGUGAAAGAGAUAAGAAACAAACGAUUCCUUUAGUGAAAGUAUUAUGGAAAAGUCAUUGUAAGACCCGAAUUUUGCCCGGCCCAUAGGGAAACCAAAAUCAAACACAAAAAUUAAACAGUCCAUCAAAUAGGUUUGGUUUACAAGCCCAAAAUUUUACAACGGCCAAAUUUUUAGGGUUUCAAAAACCCUAAGUUCCCCUUUUGCACAGCAGCCCCACGCCGCAACCCCCACGUCGGCACUCCACGCACAAUCCCCGUGUGCCUCGCUCCAUGUUUGCGCUUAUACUCCAUGCCCCUCGUUCUCCACAACUUCACGGCCUGCAAGUUGGACAAGGAAGCAGCAGAAACUGCUUGUAUUUUGGCUAUAAAGCCUUUGAUUUUUAAUUGUAAAGGGGUUUUUCUUUUUUUUGAAAUACAAAAGAUACCAAAAAAGAGAGUAAAGAGCAGCCAAGAAAAUAUUUCUAAGGUGGUUAUUUUAUCAUUUUCUUUUCCCGUUCUUUUGCUUGAUUUUUAUUUCCAUUCAAAUCCGAAAAUACGAAAUAAAAGGGGAAAAGGUGAGUACCUCUCGAUUCGCUUCGCAAGAGGGGUUCUUCGGCCCUCUGUUGGUCGUCACGGAGGCGAAUGAAGGCUUGGUGUUGACCUUGUUUGUGGCUGGAAGAAAGAGGACAGUGGGGAGAAGAAAGAGUUUAGGGUUUUUUAGAAAAAAGAAAUCAAAGUUUUUUUAGCAAAAAAAAAGACUUUAAAACUAGCUUUUGUUUUUAAUAAUAAAAUAAAUGGUUGUUAAAAGCAGUAGCAUUUUGGAAAGGCCUGCGUGUUGACCCAAUUCACAGGCUGGGUCCACGCACUUUCAUUUUAAAGGGGAAAUUUUUGCUUCCAGGCCUUCCCAUUCGCGCCAGUUUUGAAUUAACUCCUAUUUGCACCUUAUUUAUUUUAUUAAUUUUUCCCUAUAAUUUACGCGUUGAUUGUGAUCUGGUCUACGCCCAGGUGCUGAGUUUUGGAGAUUUGGAUCAUUUCCGUUUUUGGUCCUUGAGAAUUUGUGCGCAUUGAAUUGUGGUCCCUAGUUUUAAUUUGACGUUCUAUUUAUUCAUUAAUUAUCUCUUUAAGUUUGGUUUAUUUCAAUUGAGUUUUUUUUACAUGUAUAAUUCAUUAUUUCUUAAAUUUAUUUGGUACUCAAUUUUUAAAAAUUUAUUUUAAUAUACUUUUUAGGUUACCUAAAUAAUUUUCUACUCUAUAUUUACUUAUUUAAAUUAUAAAAAUAUUAUUGUAAAAUUCUAUAUUAUGUAGUGUUGUUUUAAAAUUCUUGUAUAAUAUUUAGUUAAAAUACCUUUAUAUAUUAUUAUACAUAUAUAUAAUUUAUGAUAAAAUUAUCUUUAUUCCAUGUACAUUAUUGUUCUCGUAUUAUUUUAUGUAAGUAUUUUCUUAAAUUUUAUAUAUAUUUUUUAAAUUUAUUUAUGUAUAAUUUGGUUCUCUUUAAAGGAUUAUUGUAUAUUUUAUUUAUUUUAGUAUCUUUGUAUAUAUCAGGGCAAAUUACCAAUAAAAGCCCCGUUUUUUUAAAUUUACCGAAAUGGGCCAGGUCAGAAAUUAUUAACCGGAAUGGGCUACUUUUUACAAAACGCGUCCACGUCAGCACGUUGUCAGGGGAAAAAGCAGGAAAAUGCUUCCUCAAGGAAGCGCUUUGCCUACAUGGACAGAAAACGCUUCCUUUAAGGCGCGCUUUCUAUCCACGUAGGCAAAGCGCUUCCUUGAGGAAGCGUUUUCCCCGUGUUUGAACAGUAGCAACGGCUACUUUUUUGACCUUUGGUAACCCCCCAACGGUCCAAAAAAAAACUAUAAAACCCCCGACCCCUUUCAUUUUUUUCACACUUAAAUCCUUUCAAUCUUCAAUCUUUCAAUAUUCUCUCAAAUUCCUCUCAAAUCUCUCAAAUUUGUCUUAAAUUCUUCUCAAAACUCUCGUUAAUUUUUUUUCAAAAAAGCUCUAAUUUUAUUUUUUCUAGAUUUAUUUUUUAAAAUAAAAAAAAAAUUAUCGUGUUAGCAAUGGCCGGAGAAUUAAUUCGCUUCGAUGAUAAACACAUAUCUGUUGAACAAAUGCAAAUGGUAAGUGUUAAAUUUAAUAUUUAAAUAUUAUUUAAGAUUUCUGUCAUUUAUGCAAAUUUAAAUAAUUUUUAUUUUAUUAUUUCUUAUAAAAGUCUGUAGAUCGGAUAUUGCAAUGCUAUAUCCGUAACAUGACUAGUCCUCCAUCACAUUUGAUAGAGGAUUACCUACGAGAAGCGAGUUUUUGGCACGUGGCGAUGAUAGGCCGGGGGUGCAAGUUGGACCCGAAACUUAUUAGUGCGUUGAUAAAAAGGUGGAGACCCAAGACGCACACAUUUCAUCUUCCAUGUGUAGAGUGCACUAUCACUUUGGAAGACGUGCAUUUGUAAUUAGGAUUGCCGGUGGACGGGGACGCAGUCACUUGGUCCGUUCAUUCUGCUGAUUGGGGAGCGAUAUGCUACGAGCUUUUGGGUGUUAUUCCGGACAAUAUUAACGGAGGUCGGAUUGAGAUGGGCUGGUUACGAGACACAUUUCCGGAGCCAGAUGAUGAUUCUACCGAACUAGAAAAAAUUCGAUAUGCUCGAGCAUACAUUCUUCAAAUAAUUGGAGAUUAUCUGAUGUCGGACUUGUCACGAAACCUUAUACAUCUGAGAUGGCUGCUGAAACUCGUUGAUUUUAGAGCAGCUGGUGAAUUUAGUUGGGAGUCUGCCGUGUUGGCAACACUGUACCGGGAGAUGUGCGCGGUUACGCGACCGAAUAAAGCGAAAAUCAGAGGUUACUUGUCACUACUGCAAUCAUGGGCACGGUUUCAAUAACAUCCCCCUACCCGAGACCGUCGUCGGAGUCGAGCAAGAGACAUUACAAAACUUAACUUAGCACUUAAACAGUUUUCGUAGUAAACUAUCCAUCUGCGUCAUAGUCGCUAAAAAAAAUAUCUCGAGUUACGAAACUCGAAAUCUAAAUCCGUAAAUUUUCCCUGAAACUAGACUCAUAUAUCUACUUACUAAUUUUUUUCCUAGAAUUUUUGGUCAGGCCAAUUAGUACAGUUUAUUAGAAAAAGUCUCCCCUGUUUCAGGGUUCAGCUACUCUGACCCUUGUGCACUACGAAUCAAAUUUCUUCUUGUACAGAAAUCCAAUGACUAUUCCAUUUGUUUCAAUUAAAAAUAGACUCAAUAAGGAAUCCAUACAAAUAAAGUUUGAGUCCUAAUUCUUAAUACACAAUUUAUGGUGAAUUUCUAAAGUCAAAACAGGGAAUCUAGAAAUUAUUCUAACCCUGUUUCACCAAAACGUAAAUAUCUCAUAAAAUACAACUCUUUUACCUAUUUUAUUUCUUCCAUAUAAAAAUAGAUUCAUUAAGCUUCAAUUAAAAAUUUUAUUCAUUGUCUAAUUCACUUUAUACUAUUUUUGGUAUAUUUUCAAAGUUGGACUACCGCUACUGUCCAAAUCUGUUUUAGUAUAAAAUGUUGAUAACUAAGUUUAUAACAUCUUCAUUUCUUCUCUCUACAAUAUUUACCAACACUUCCUCUUAUUACUCUUCACUAACAUAUCAAAACAUACCAUACUUAAGGUUUUGGUAACAUUUACAAAACAUACCAAAAUAUCACUUAACAACUUAGAUACUUUCAAAAUGACCAAAAGACAUCCUAGGUACAAUGCCAUUUUCCAAAAAGAUAGAAACUUCACGAAUUUGAGUUUGGGGAUCGACUUGUAUGCUGAAUCCUUAUACUUUCGUACCUAGCCUGCGCACGGAAACAAACCGUACGCUGAGAAUACUCUCAGUGGUAUUUCUAUAAACAAUAGCUUAAUCAACUUUAAAACAUGGUAAUUCAAACACAUUAUUGCUAUUAUUCAGUAUCAAUCAGUACUUUAAUAACCUUUACUUUAUUUACCCUUAUUAACAUAACUCGGACACUGACGGAUACACGGAUCCAACCCACACUCCGGGAUAAGCACACAGUGCUUCAUCGGAAUAAAUCCGGAACUUUAACAUUAUAGUACACAAAGUACUUCAUCGGAACAAAUCCGAAACUUUAACAGUAGUCGACACAUAGUGUCUCAUCGACUCAAUGUCGGAAUAUCCCAAUACUUCCAAUUCCUAUGACAUGUCAACUAUAUCCGACUAGCCCGACAUUAUUAAUAGGGUAUUCAAAAUCACAUUCAUUUCAAUAUGGUAAAAAUACUUACCUCAUUCACAUUUUCAUACAAUAUAAAUAUCAAAUAUAGCAAUAACGAUUAAGCUCGGUUUAUAGAAAUACAAACCACUAUUUAUCGAAUUUAAUCGAUAUCUUCGUUCACUUUCUCUUUUCCCUUCUUUGAUGACGUAUCCGGUGCUACGUUUGCUACUAACAAUCAUACAAUUAAAAAGCAUCAAUAUACUAAUUCAUAAAACACAUUUUUCACUUUCUAUAAAACUUUUACAAAAAUUCCAAUUUCGUCCUUUUUCCAUUACUAAUCUUUUUUUCUUUAACUUAAGCUUCAUAUUCUCUUUUAAUCAACUCAUUAACAAUUUCUAACUCAUAAAAUUCAUUAUAAAACAUAAAUUUUGAGCUCUAUUCAACUUAAUCCCUAUUUAAACCUAACUUAGAAUUCUUUUAAUAAAUCACUCAAUUUUCACUUCUAACUUCAAUUCCUAUCAAUUUAACCCAUAAAACCUCAAUUUAUUCAACUAAAUCAAUAUCUAAAAAUUCUCUAUUUUUCUUCAUUUUAACCUCAUACAUGUAGAACUUUGAAUUAGGCAUCCAUAAACAUAAAAAUCAUAGGAAAAUGAGCUAAAACAACUUACCAAUCAAACUUUAGGGCCAUAAUCCUCAAAUUUCCCUUUUUUAUUUAUUUAUUUCUUUCCUUCUUUCUUUCUCACGUUUGCUCUCUGUUAGUCUUUCUAUCUUUCUUUCUUUCUUUCUUUCUCACGUUUGCUCUCUGUAACUUUUCUAUUCUUUACUCAUUAUUCUUUAUUCAUUAUACUAUAUUAUAUUAUUAUUAACCUAUAAUAAAUAUAAAAUUAACAUGUGUAAUAGCUAUAACAUAAAAUAUCUUAUAGCUAUUACACAUAUAUACCAACUAUUACACAUGUUAUAUCAUACAUUCACACACAUGGCACUUAGGGUCUAAUUGCUAGAUUAGUCCCUUUUACUUCUUUAAUCUAUAAUUAAACUUUUAUUCCUUAUGCAAUUUAAUCCUUUAAAAUAAAUUCAAGCUACUUCACUUAAUUAAACACUAAAUAACCAUUCAACUAUAAUUCAUAAAUAAUUCUAAUAAAUAUUCAUGAAUAAAUUUCACAGAAACAGUACUCAAGACUCAAUUUUCGAUAUCGUAACUUUCGGUUCAUUACAGUUUCGCUUUCCAUUUUUACAUCCUCGAGUGGACCACCCAUAUACAUUCCCACUCAUAACGAGGACUGAAUAUCCAGCUAGCAUGGCUAAUUUGCAUGUUUUAGGCUUAAGGACUGAAUUGAAUAAAAGUAAAACUUCAGUGGGUAAUUUUGUAAAAAUGUCAAAAAUGACCAAAUUGAAGGGAAUGAAUUUUUUUAUUAUCUAAAUUAAUAAAUUGAAUGAAAUUUUCAAUUUAAGAUCGGAUGAAAAUUGGGAAAAUGGUAAAUUACCAAAAUGCCUCUUAAUCUUGAUAUUUCUGCAAUUUCGUUAAGUAAGUUCGUGUAACUUGAAUUAUAUUCUUAAAUGUUUAAAAUGCAUUUUUUAUAUGAAUAUGAUUUGAAUUUUCAUUAUAUGGAAAUUUAUGAAUCAUUGAUAUAUUUGAAAAAAAAAUGGGAAAAAAAUCUCGGUUGAAUGGAAGGAAAAUUUGAUGGAUCUCUGAAAAGGAAUUGACAGUAAAAAGGAUCUAGCCCGGACGGGUGAUCCUAUCCUGAUAUAUCCCUCUUGAAGAAUAUGUGAAAAAUGAAUUUAGCUCGGACGGGUAAUCCAAAUUAGGGUCUGAAUUUAGCCUGGACUAGUAAUUCAGAUCCAAGCUCAUUACAGUAAUUGUCGUUGCAGGGGAUUUAGCCUGGACUGGUAAUCCCGACAAUACUCUAUGAGUUUAUAUUACAGGGGAUUUAGCCUGGACUGGUAAUCCCACUGUAAGGAUGAGGUUCGCAGGAGUGUGCUCUCUGAUAUGAAAUGUGUAAGACCAUGGUUGAAAGAUACCAUGGCAACCUGAUAUGAAAUGUGUAAGACCAUGGUUGAAAGAUACCAUGGCAACGUGAUAUGAAAUGAAUAAGACCAUGGUUGAAAGAUACCAUGGCAACCUGACAUGAAAAGAGUAAGAUCAUGGUUGAAAGAUACCAUGGCAACAUGACAAAAAACGAGUAAAACCAUAGUUGAAAGAUACUAUGACAUCAUGUCGAAGAUAAAUAAGAUCGAGGAAGAGAAACGCCAAUAUAUCUAUUGAACAAUCAAUAUUUAGGUAAUAUAUAUCAAAUGGAAUGGUUGUGUGAAAUGUGUACAGGAAUUGGUCAUAUGGAAAUAUAUGUACAAAAUAGUUGUAUGAAAUAAUUAAGAAGAUAGAUAAAUGAAAUAAGUAUAGGUACAUGGAAUUUAAUUUAUGUUAAGUUUAAUACGAACUAUUACCGAAAUAAAUAUAUACAAGAUAUAAGGAAAUGAUGGUACAUGAAAUAUUGAUAUAACGAAAUGAAUGAUAUAUGCUUAUGAAGAAACAGUAAGAGAAUAAUAUAUUUUGUGAUAUGUACAUAUAUAAUUAUCUUUGAUAUGUUGAUACAAGGAAAUUAUGUAAGUUGAGACUAUUAUUAAACUCAAGUGUGAUAUGUUGAGAAAAUAGGUAUAUCAAUGUUGAAUUUAUAUGAAAUAUGUGCAAGUAUACUAACAAUGUUGUUGUUUGAUGCUUAGACAAGUGCCAAGCUAUUGAUUGAAUGGUAACAUGCUUAAUUAUAAGGAGCAUUGAAAUGGUAAGUACUUAGAUGAAAAUAUAAUUUAAGAUUUUGCGAAAUUUUUUAUGAUCUCGAUUUUAUUCCAGUUGGUUUCUAAUGUAUGUUUUGGGCUUCGAGGGCCCAAUAGAGAGACAUUAUGAUAAUUUCAAAAUAUGAAUAAUAAAUGACUCAAAAUUAUCUGAAAAUGUUCAGUAAACUUUGCUAAUGCCUCAUACCCUAUUCCGGCAAUGAAUACGGGUAGGGGUGUUACAUAAAGUAAUUGUAAUUUACUUUUAUAUUUUUUAAUAAAAUGGAAAUUAUUUUAAAUAAGGCAACAUUUUGAAUAUUUUUAUAUUAUUUCAUGUAAUUAGAUAAAAUGUUGUUUUAAAUAAAGUAAUUAUAAUUUACUUUUAUAUUUUUAGUAAAAUGGAAAUUAUUUUAAAUAAGGCAACAUUUUAAAUAUUUUUAAAUUAUUUCAUGUAAUUAGAUAAAAGGUUGUUUUAAAUAAAGUAAUUGUAAUUUACUUUUAUAUUUUUAAUAAAAUGGAAAUUAUUUUAAAUAAGGCAACAUUUUGAAUAUUUUUAUAUUAUUUCAUGUAAUUAGAUAAAAGGUUGUUUUAAAUAAAGUAAUUGUAAUUUACUAUUAUAUUUUUAAUAAAAUGGAAAUUAUUUUAAAUAGGCAACAUUUUGAAUAUUUUUAUAUUAUUUCAUGUGAUAAUAUAAAAGGUUGUUUUAAAUAAAGUAAUUAUAAUUUACUUUUAUAUUUUUAAUAAAAUGAAAAUUAUUUUAAAUAAAGCAAUAUUUUGAAUAUUUUUAUAUUAUUUCAUGUAAUAAAAUAUAAAUAAUACAACAUAUUGACAAUUACAACAACUAUCAACUAUUGCGAUUUGGACAUGAUCUACUUGUAUGGCCUGGGUUCCUACACCAUCCAUAUAACUUCUGUUGAUUGGUUGUUUCUCGGAUAUCCAUAUUGUUGCGUAUUCUAGUCGAGCAAGGUUGACCCAUUGGUUUACGCCGCAACUCUCUAUCCGGUAACAGCUUAAACGGAGCAAGCGAUACAGAGGGCCACUUACGAUCAUCUGGGACCGGUGGGAAUAUGUGUCUCCACACGUUGGACAUGUAUUCCAAUUUGUACACGUCGUCAUCAUAGCUCAUGGGAUCCAGGCGAAGAUUUUGACAAGCUGCAAUUACAUGAGCGCAUGGAUAACGAAGUGCGUCAAACCUCCCACAAUCGCAAGUCCUAUUUCUUAAGUGUACACGAUAUUGCCCGCCAGUAAUACCUUGGUGCGGUUUGUCAAACUCUGUCACACGAAACCAUAAGUUGUCUCGAUCAUGACACACUGUGUGCAUAGUGUUCGCCCGUACCUUCGCCUUGUUAAUUUCUUUCAAUACCUUUGCGCAACAUACAUGGCCUCCUUGCAUUUGGCCUGUAUAACUCGCUGCUCGUUUCGAAAAUAGUGCCGCUAAACGAAAAUAUGUCUCUCGCACAACUGAUGUUAUCGGUAAAUGACGUGUUCCUUUUAGAACAUAAUUUAUACAUUCGGCUAGGUUUGAAGUCAUGUGACCAUAUCGUAAGCCGCCGUCGUAUGCUUGUGUCCACUGUUCGAAAGGUAUAUUACAUAGGCAGUCAUGGCCCUCUUCGUUAACUGAAUGGAAAACUGUUAACAUCUCAUGAAAACGAUCCUUACUUAUCUCAUAGCCUGCUAAUAUAAGUUGAUAGCGAAAAUUACAUACCGCUUUUCCAUUUAAAAUAAAUUCAAUAUUCCCAACGAAAUUAUAUUAAUAGAGAUAAAGUUAAAUACCCAUGUUGGCCACUUGUCGUCGUUCACCUUUAGAUGGAUAUUGCCUGUAGUAGUUGGAAGCAAUGUGCAUUAGGCAGUACCGAUGGUGUGUGUGAUGCCAUAGGCUUUCCUGUCGCUCAAUUGCAGCUAGUAUCCCGGUGCCUCGAUCCGAUAUAACGCAUAUAUCAGGUUGGAGGCAAACAUGCAUCCUUAACCUAGAAAGAAAGAAAUCCCAGUUAUCAGCUGACUCCCCCGGUGUUAUUGCAAACAUAAUUGGAUGGAUUUUUCCACUACCAUCUUGUGCGACUGCUAGCAAUAGCCGAUGGGUAUAUCUGUAACACUCCUAACCCGUAUUCGCUGCCAGAACAGGGUUUCGGAGCAUUACUACCAUUUACAGAUCACUUAAAAAAAUUAAAAUACUUACCGAUUCAAUGCAUCAUAUAAAAUAAAUAUAUUACCAUUCAAUCAACAGUUUGGCACUUGUAUAAGCAUCAAACAACAACAUUGUUAGUAUACUUGCACAUAUCUCAUAUAAAUUCAAUAUUGAUAUAUCUAUUUUCUCAACAUGUCGCACUUGAGUUUAAUAAUAGUCUCAAUUACAUAAUUUCCUUGUAUCAACAUAUCAAAGAUAAUCAUAUAUGUACAUGUCAUGAAACAUAUCAUGCUCUUACCGUUUCUUCACAAGCAUAUAUCAUUCAUUUCAUUAUAUCAAUAUUUUAUGCUUCAUCAUUUCCAUAUAUUUUAUGUAUAUUUAUUCUGGUAAUAGCUUAUAUCAAACUUAACAUAAAUUAUAUUUCAUGUACUUAUACUUAUUUCGUUUAUCCAUUUUCAUAAUUAUUUCAUACAACGCUUUUGUACAUAUAUUUCCAUAUGACCAGUUCUUGUAAACAUUUCAUACAACCAUUUCAUAUAACCAUUCGUCAUCUGAUACAUUUUACCUGAAUAUCAAUUGUUCAACAGAUGUUAUAACGUCUCCCAUCCACGGUCUUAUUUAUCUUUAACGUGGUGCCAUAGUGUCUUUCAACUAUUGUCUUACUCAUUUUCUGUCAUGUUGCCAUGGUAUCUUUCAACCAUGGUCUCAUUCUUUUCAUGUCACGUUGCCAUGGUAUCUUUCAACCAUGGUCUUACACAUCUCAUAUCAGGUUGCCAUGGUAUCUUUCAACCAUGGUCUUACACAUUUCAUAUCAGGUUGCCAUGGUAUCUUUCAACCAUGGUCUUACACACAGGUUGCCAUGGUAUCUUUCAACCAUGGUCUUACACAUAGGUUGCCAUGGUAUCUUUCAACCAUGGUCUUACACAUUUCAUAUCAGAGAGCAUACUCCCGCGAACCUCAUCCUUACAGUGGGAUUACCAGUCCAACCUAAAUCCCCUGUAACAUAAACUCAUAGAGUAUUGUCGGGAUUACCAGUCCAGUCUAAAUCCCCUGCAACGACAAUUACUCUAAUGAGCUUGGAUCUGAAUUACCAGUCAGGCUAAAUUCAGACCCUAAUUCGGAUUACUUGUCCGGGCUAAAUCUGUUUUACACAUAUUCUUCGGGAGGGCUAUAUCAGGAUAGGAUCACCCGUCCGGGCUAAAUCCUUUUUACCAUCAAUUCCUUUUCAGAGAUCCAUCGAAUUUUCCUUUCAUUCAACCUGGAUUUCUUCUCCUUUUAUCAAAUUUAUCAAUGUUUCAUAAAUUUUCAUACAAUGAACAUUCAAAUCAUAUUCACAUAAAUAACAUACAAUCUCAAGCAUUUAAGAAUAUAAUUCGAGUUAUACGAACUUACCUCAUUGCUUGUUUGUGUUUAUAAUUUCAUUAAUCUGAUAUCUUUUCUUUCCACGAUCAAGUCUCAUAUUUGAGUCGUCCGGAUCUUUAUAAAUAAAUUUGAUCAUCAUUUUCAUUCAUUUCAUAUUCUAAUGCAUUUAAUUAAUGCUCUAGGCAAAAUUACUAUUUUGCCCCUAAACUUUUAAUUAAUGACGAUUUCAUCCUUAAGGUCAGGAAAAUAAAAUUCUUGCAAUUUAAUCCUUAUUUCCAGAUAUUAUUCUCAUAUAUAUUGAUAAUAAUCCAUGAAUUCUAUAAAAUAUCAGAAUUUUUCAUAAUUUCAACACUUUUCAAUUGAAUCCCUAAAACAUGUUUUCCCCCAAUCUUGAACUAAAUUAAUAAUUUCAUUCAAUUUUGUAAUUUAAAUAAUAAAAUAAUUCAUCUCAUGCAAUUUGGUCAUUUCUGACAUGUUUACAAAAUUGCCCAAAAAGUUUUACUUUUAUUCAAUUUUAGUCCCUGAGCCUAAAAUAUGCAAAUUAGCCAUGCUAGAUGAAUAUUCAUACAUAUUUUUUCUCCUCCUCCUCUCCAUUCCACAUCCUUAAUGUAGAUAACACACUUGUAAGUAACAUUAUCCAUAAUUUUUAUUAUUUACUUUUAUGAAUAUUCAAGCUGUCUAUCUGCAUUAUAGUCACUAAAUUAUUUAUAUCUGGAUCUAUAGAACACCAAAUUAAUAUCCGAUAAUUUUCCAUGAAUCUAGACUCAUAUAUAUUCUUACCAUAAAAAUUUCAGAAUUUUUGGUUUAGCCAAUAAGUACAAUUUAUUCUUUAAAGUUACCCCUGUUCUACUGUCUGACAGUUCUGACCCCUCUUCACCAAAAAUUAAUUAUCUCCUCAUACAGGAUUCAAAUGAUGUUCUUGUUUAUUUAUCUUAAAAAUAUACUCAUUCAUUAUUUUAUAAAUAUAAAUUUAAGCCCCUAAUUAUUUUUAUUCAAUUUUUUAUGAUUUUUCAAAGUCAGAACAGGGGAACUCGAAUUCAUUCUGACCUUGUCUCACAAAAUUCAUUAUAUCUCAAAAUUUACAAAUCCAUUGCUUACACUAUUUAUUCUAUGAGAAACUAUACUCAAUAAUAUUUAAUUCCAUAUUUUUUCAUAUUAUAAUUCGAUUUCUACAAUUUAUGGUGAUUUUUCAAAGUUAGUCUACUGUUGCUGUCCAAACUAUUUUUGUGCAAGCUAUUAAUUACCACGUUAUAACACCCUUAUUUUCUUUUUCUACACCAUUUCUCAUCACUUUCUCUUAUUUUCUCUUCACUAACAUAUCAAAAACAUAGGACCUUAUGUAAGAAAACUCUACUAUAACAUUAUUUCCAUGCUUUUUCAAUAAUAACAAACUUAAAAACAUAUUGAAAUCUUGAUAUACUUACCUUGUUCUAUUGAUACUAAUCUUAAACUUGAUUUUCUCUCUCCUCCAGCUUCUAUUUCUUGAAUCCAACUUGAUAUUCUAACUCCCCAUGCUCUCCUUAACAUUUUUGUCUCUUGGUAGCUAUGGAAAUUCAUUUGAUUUUUGGGUGAAAAUGGUGAAUUUUUUGUAAAAGGACCAAAUUGUAAAAAAAGCAAAACUUUCUUUCUUCCUGUCUUUCUCUCACGUUAGUGCAUAGGAAAAUAUGGAUGAGAAUUUCUCAUCUUUCUUUCUUUAUAUACUAAUAAAAUAAUAAUAAAAUAUCUUAUCAAAGUAUUAAUAAAAUAAUAUUUAUCUAAUUAAAUAAUUAUAAAAUAUCAAAAUAUCUCUAGCAUCAUUAUUACUUUCUAGAUUUCUCUCUCUUCCAAUUGACCAUUUUGCCCUUCAUUAUCUUUUAAAAUUCCAUCAUUGAGUCAUCAUUUAAUUUGGUAAAAUUACAAUUUAGUCCCUCAUAGUUCUUCAUCUAUUCAAUUUGGUCCUAAUUCAUCCAUUUUCCUUAGUUUCUAGAUCAUUCCACUCUUAAAUUAUUUACACUAUUGGUCCUUCAACUUUUUCAUAUUUACACUUUAACCCCUCAAAUUAUGAAUAUUUACUAUUGUGCAACAAAACUUUUUUCACUUUUACAAUUUAGUCCUUUCUUGAAUUAAUAUAUCAUAAUAUACUUCUCAAUAUUGACAUAACUCAAAAUUUCCCUUUUUGUCACUUUAUUUCCUUAUUUUACUAUAUCAAGGAUAAUAUCUUACUAUAAAAAAUUUCAGGGUAUUACAAUAUCUACCGUACAUAAAGGUACCGUCAAUUUGUACCAAUGGCUUACAAUAUGCAAAUGCGUCCCGGCAUUGCUUAAAGCUCCAGAAGAGACGCUUGAAUACUUGGCAUCCACGGAGCAAUCGAUCGUUGUAGUAUGCAGGUUUUGUUUGAAGGUCUGUUAUGCAACCUGGGAUGUAUCUCUCUAGCACUUGACACCACUGUCAUAUUUCAUUAUAUGAAGCGUCCCACCCACUAUGCAUCUUCUCCAAAGCCUUCUGCUUAGCUAUCCAAGCCUUGCGGUAAGAGGGCGUGUACGCCAUUUGGUUACGAAUAUAGGCAAUUAAGACUGGCACUGAAGUCCUAGGAUUUGCCUUCACCGUGGGUAGUAUUAAGCUAGCUAACAUAGCUGAAUCCAUCUUGGGAUGAUCUUGUGAAAUACCUGUCAACGAAGUACGUUAAAUAAUGUAACAUUACAUAAUAACAAUAUUAUUCAAAAACCUUAAAUACUGUACCUGCAGCACAUGUAUGUGGACCUUUAUACUUUUUUAUCUCCCAUAACCCUAUCAUUUUCCUCAAUGAGGCAUAGAUUUUCCAUGAACAACUUCCAUCUUGCACUGCACACUUCGCCUCAAACUUAUCGGAUUUAGAUUUAACCACGUGGUAGUUAACACCGUUAUUGAGGCUAUGUUGUUUCAAUGCACCAAGAAAACUAUCCUUAUUGGAAAACUCCUUACCAACUUCAAAUUCACUCGAAUCCAAUAACGAAAUUGUAUAAUCACGUGUUCUGUGUGGUAGAUCUGGAAACUCUAAUGUAUCAUUUGCAGAUAUAUCAACAUUAUGCAUGUGGGCUAGAAGCGAGUAUGCCCUGAAUUGUGGAUCUUCUUCUUCAUCUGAACCCCCUUCAACAUCUUCAGGUCCAGUUGGAAUAGGCUCCGGUUCAGAAAAUAAUCCAACUUCUGUACUAUCGUGGCCGGGCUCUCGAGGUAGAUCCACAUCAGACUUAUCAUCUAACCCACCAACAUCUGCGACGUAUGAGGUCCCCUCACCAGUGGACGUCAUGGGGAGUACAUCAUCCCUUCUUCUGGGCGUUUCAUAACGUCCCCAAUUGGAUGUAGAUUGUUAAGCGCUAUAAGUUGCUGUCGUUCCCCAAUACGUAUUUCCAGCAUCAAACAUCGACCCACCUAGGUGCAUGUCCCAUCCACUAAUAGAGUGUCGUGCAGGGGUUGUGUAUUUCAUACCGCUACCAAAAACUGGCGAUUCCGUAUUAUGUAACCCACUAACGAAGUGUCGGGCAGGGGUCUCGAACAACAGCCGCAAAUGUAUCAUUUGGCAUUGCAAAUUGUACAUAUAACUCAAUAUAUGGUGCUCCACUAGCAAGAUAAGUCUGCACCAUUGCCUCCAAGCUACAAGCACCUUUGAUGUCGAACGAGUCAUAUGUUAUUUGAUCAAUAGAAGCACAAAAUCGAUACCUAAUAGACAACACUUUCAUUGGCGUCGUUCCGAAUAUUUUACACCUAAUCCUUUUACGAAGUUCUGUCAAAUCUAUGUUCUGGUUAAAAACCAGUCGUAUUGUAUUCUCUGAAAAAGAAACAACACCGUUCUCGGUGUGACGAACCUCACCAUCAUAGUAAAUAACAGCACUAAUGUGUUCACUCAUCUUUAAUUUUUAUCCUUCUUAGCCUCUCUAUUUUGUUUUUUUUUUUUUGCUGUAAGUUAUGUAACCCGAGAACAAAAUUUGGCUCAUUUAUAGCCCAAGUUAUUUCAGAAACCACUGUAGCAAAAGAGCGUCCACGUGGGAGCUUCUUUCAGUACUUUUGUUGAAAAUGCAUCCUGCUUGAAGCGUUUUUGACACUAUUUAUACAGACACGCCUUCUCAAAAUUAUUUUUUCAAAGACCACUGUAGCAAAAGAGCAUCCACGUGGGAGCUUCUUCCAGUAAUUUUGUUAAAAAUGCAUCCUGCUUGAAGCGUUUUUACCACUAUUUGCGUAGACACGUCUUCUCAAAAUUAUUUUUUCAGAGACUACUAUAGCAAAAGAGCGUCCACGUGGAAGCUUCUUUCAGUACUUUUGCUGACAAUGCAUCCUGUUUGAAGCGUUUUUUAUACUAUUUGCACAGACACGUCUUCUCAAAAUUAUUUUUCAGAUACUACUGUAGCAAAAGAGCGUCCACGUGGGAGCUUCUUUCAGUACUUUUGCUGACAAUGCAUCCUGCUUGAACCGUUUUUGACACUAUUUGCGCAGACACGUCUUCUCAAAUUUAUUUUUUCAGAUACUAUUGUAGCAAAAGAGCGUCCACGUAGAAGCUUUUUUAGAUUACCAAAUAAUUUAAUUAAGUUGCCCUAAACCCCAAACCCUAAUUUAUUUGAUUUUUUUUCUUAAAUAUCCUAAAACCCUAAACCCUAAAAUUCUAAUCUAAUUUUUUUAAAAUUUAUAAUUAAUUUACUAAAGUAACCAUAAACCCUAAUUUAUUUGAUUUUUUCCUUAAAAACCAUAAACACUAAACCAUAAUCUAAUUUUUUAAAAUUAGUAAUUAAUUUAAUUAACAAACACUAAACCUUAAUUUAUUUAAUUUUUUUCCUUAAAACCCUAAAAUUUUAAAACCUAAAAUUCUCAAAACCCUAAUCCUAAUUGCAAAAACCCUAAUAAAAACACGGGGAAAACGCUUCCUCAAGGAAGCGCUUUGCCUACGUGGACAGAAAGCGCGCCCUCAAGAAAGCAUUUUCUGUCCACGUAGGCAAAACGCUUCCUUGAGGAAGCGUUUUCCUGCUUUUUCCCCUGACAACGCGCUGACGUGGACACGUUUUGUAAAAACUGGCCCAUUUCGGUUAAUAAUUUCUGACCUGGCCCAUUUCGGUAAAUUUAAAAAAAACGGGGCUUUUAUUAGUAAUUUUCCCUAUAUAUCAUUUACAAUUUUUUUCUCAUUUUCAUAUAUGCAUCAUUAGUUAAAUUAACUUGUCUAUUUUUUGUAUUAUUUAUUUUGAAUUUCUUCUUACGUAACAUAUAUAUAUUAAUAAUUAUUCAUAUAUUGUCAGUUUUUAUAUGCAUAUAAGUUAUUUUGAAUUUUUGCUUGUAUUAUUUCUUUGCAUAUAUUUAAUAAUCUUUAAAUAUCAUUGACUCCUAGUUCUUGUGUUGUCUUGCAUAUCAUGUGUAGUCAUUGGCUUUCAUAUCAUUUUCACAUAUUAUUGUUCAUACAUAUAACUAUUUUUUUCCCUUGUAAUUGCAUUAUGUUUUCAAUUCUCGUGUUUACUCAAUAUCAAUUGUUUUUAUCCUCAAGCAAACAAGUAUUUUUAAUUUGUUGUUGCAACUAUCAAUUUUUUUUAAAAAAACUUCUAAAAUAAGGCAAUGUUCUAUGUUGGAAAUUCGAGAAAUCGUGCCCUAACGUGUUGGGUUUCGCUUUUUUCGUUGGUCCAAAUACUUGUAUACCCUUCUUGUUGCGUUUUGGAAAUCAUGAAGUGAUCUCAGUUUUUGGAGGCUUAAAAUAUCGUGUCCUAACGUGCUGGAUGUGGUAUUUUAAUUCUUUGAAACGAGUGAAUCUUGGAAUCUAGUUCGAGUUGUGCACACACUUUUAAGGGGAUCGUAUUUCAAUUUUUUUUUAAAUUUUCAACAUUAGGAUAUAAAUUAAUCAGUUAUGUACCAAUUUUGGGCAUUACGAGGGUGAUAAUCCUUCCUCGUAUGUAAUCGACUCCCGAACCCAUUUCUUGAUUUUCGUUGGGCCAAAAUCCAUAUUUUAAUAAAAUAAUUUAUUAGGUGAUCCGAUCACACCUAAACCAAAAAAGGAUUGGUGGCAACUCUGAACUUUCAUUUUUAAAGUCGAUCCUGAUUUUUUAAAAUAAAAAGGGUUUCGAUAGCUUGGCGACUCCACUGGGGACUAAUAAGAGAGUCAAGCCGUAAAAUUGAUUAUUUUCUGUCCUUUUGUCGAAAAUUUAAAAUUUAGAUUUUAACAUACGAUCCUUUUAUUGCAUUUCAUGGGUUUUAUGGUUUUUGGUCAUUUUAUUCGUGUUUUACAUUUGGAGUUUUUUUUUAUAUAUCUCUUCGCAUCAUCUUACAUGACCGUUGUGGUCGUACCUUUUUAAGUGGGAGUGAGAAACUACGCCUCCGCGAGGUUUUCACCUCCGCAUGGGCUAGUAGACCACUUCCGGGAUACAUCCGUACCUAUGCCUUCGUGAGGUUUUUACCUCUGCAUGGCCAUAGGGAAAUGUAUUCCCCUAUAAUGGGUGAGGGUUGAGAAAUCUGCUAGUUCAGGUACCAUUUUCUUAGAACCGAGCCGCAUAUAGUGAACUCUAGGAGCCCGCCUUAGGUAGAGCUAUGUUCAACUCUAGUGAUUGCCCAGUUAGGUGUUUAAUUAUAUUCUAUUUGCUUAAAUUUUUAUUUUUCGAUAAUAACUUGUUGUGUUUUGUUGUGAUUAUGUUUUGCAUGUCAUUUCAUAUUAAAGAGGUGUUGAUUUCUGUUCGGUUGCCAAAUUAGAAAGCUUGUUAUAGAGAGUGAAUUCCUUGAUAAAGUAGAGGAUAAUGCGGCUGUCCGUAUGUGGUUAGAGAAUAUACAACUUAAGAAAGGGGAUAGCCUAGCUAAGGGGUAUACAUCGGGGUUGUCGGGUUUCACUCACAUCAAUGUGACCCAAAAUGAACUUCAAGAAUUGAGGGAUAUAUGGGCUCGUUGGGAUGAUGAGACCAAGCAGCUAUUCUAUCAAAGUUAUGGUGACUUACCCUACCUGCUCGAUAUCAAGGUGGACAAGUACUUGUUUUGGGCUAUGGCUCAGUUUUGGAACCUGGAGUAUAGUUGCUUUACCUUCGGGAAGGUGGACUUGGUGCCUACCAUGGAGGAGUAUACAGCCUUGCUCCGUUGUCCAAAGGUUCAAGUCGACAAAGUUUAUUCCAAGGCUGCUAGUGCUCCAACUUUUGUAAAGAAGUUAAUGAGUAUCACUGGGAUAAGUGAACAAUAGGUUACAGCUCGAAUUCAGCAAAAGGGUGAUGGUAGGUGCAUUCCUUAGGUAAGUUUGAGGGAUCUGAUCGUAGCACAUCCAGAUACAAUGAGGAAAGUUGACGCCUUCGCCUUGAGUAUCUAUGGUUUGGUGAUUUUUCCCAAGGCUUUAAGGCAUAUAGAUGAAGCAGUUGCCAUUUUCUUUGAUCGACUUGACAAAGGAGCCACACCGGUGCCAGCAAUUCUUGCUGAGACAUUCAGAUCCUUGAGUGCAUGUCGGAGGGCAAGUGAAGGUAGAUUUAUAGGAUGUGCACAGUUAUUGUUGGCUUGGUUUCACAGCCAUUUCUAGAAGGUGGAUAAGGUUUCCUAUCGGGUUUUAUCUGAGAGUUGCUCCCCGUUAAAGGAGAUAGCAGCCAUGUCUAGGAGAGAUGACAUAUCAGAAGAAAAUUAGAUCGCGCUCCUUUGAAAUCUUCAGGAAGAUGAUGUUGAGUGGGGAGCUCCUUGGUUUGUUCUUGAUGAGAUCCUCUAUCGGUGUGGGAGUUUUGAUUGGGUACCCCUACUUGGAAUUUGGGGAGCUGCUGGAUAUGCCCCUUUACUCGUUUUAAGACAAUACAGGUCAAGGCAGUGUAUACCGAUAACACAUGGAUUAGCCCAGAGUCAGUUCGCGUAUAGGGAGAAGAAUUAUAAAAAGAAGGUUCAAGAGAUUUUUGAUACUUGGAAACAGAUACGCCAGAUGAAGAGAUUGGCUGUUGGAUCAAUGACGACUCCUGAAUACAAUGGGUGGUUGAGCAAAAGAGUUAAUGAUAAUAUCCCCGAGCCAAUUUUGGAGGAUGUUCGUACGAUGGAAGAAUAUUUGCAAGUAAUUCCCUUCGAGAUUGAGAUCGUAAAAUGAGACUUCGAAGAGAGAAAUACAGAGUUAGGGAAAAAGAUAGAACAAUUAGAGGAGGAAAAGAUGCAUUUGAGAUUGGAUGCUGACGUUCAGAAACUCGAGGCCGAGAAGUUAAGAAAAGGGAAAUAGAAGGUUAAGGAAGACCUGGACAGUUUGAAAACUGAUUACAAGAAGCUACGUAUGUCGAUAAGAACUGCCGGGUUGGGGAGACGUCAGAGCAGUGGCGACAGGAAAUUCGAGAGGAAAAGGCUAGAGCUGAUCAGUGGGAGAAGAGGUUUCAUGAUGCUCGAGCACGUGAAACCGCCUAAAAGAAGAGCUUGGUAGCUUGGGUAGCGGAGCUAGAAAAGUCCCUGCAUCAGCACCGUGGUCAUAACUCUAAUAUUGAAUUAAGAGUCAGCCUGAGUAAGAUUGAAGAUUUGAAAGGGAAGGUAAAAGAGCUCGAGACUGCACUACAAAACUGUAAGCUUCGAAUUGAAUUACUUGAGUCGAACAAUGAGCAGUGAAAGGAACAGCUCCGUCGAUCGCAGAACCAGGUCAGGGAUAGAGAUCACAUCAUGGGUGAAGCUGUGGCUCAGAUUCGGGGAGUGGCUGAUUAUUUACAGACCUUAGCGGUUCAGGCUGAUGUGCUAAGUGUCAAGUAUGAGUUAGAGUCAGACCGGGGUCGUGAGCUAGCUUACCUUCAUAAGAAAGUUAAAGCUUUGAGCAUUAGGGCUAAGCCGUAUUUGUGAUCUAUUUUAUGUAAAGGAUUCUGCUUUUUAAUAAAGUUUUUUAAAUGGAAUUGAAUCAGCAUCGACGUCUCUUUAGUUUUGCAUUCAUUUAAUGCAUUUACAGUUCAUCGCAUCAUGUACAUUAAAUUUCACAAAAGAAUCUUGAUUAAAAAAUUGUAUUAUAGUUACCCUGAAACAUCAAUAUUACACACGAAAAAAGACCAAAGCUAUGGAUCAAAGGUUGGAAAAAUUGGAGCAAAUGCAGAAAGAAAUGCAGGAACAGAUGCAAGUGCAAAUGCAAGAGCAAUUAGCUAAGAUCCAGCAAGAUAUGAAAAAUCAAAUGUUGAAAUCUCAGAGGAGUAUGAUGAGCGAACUGACUCAGCUACUAGUUGGAAAGCCAGAAAAGGGGAAGAGUCUCAUGGUCAAUGCUGAGGAUGAUAGCGAGAUUCUUGCUUACCCUCUGGGUUUCACCGCAACAAAUACCCUAGUGCCUCCGUAAAAGGUGUUUGUCAGUAUCAAACCCCAAUAUCAGACUGGUCUUCGGCACCGGUAAAUUUCCCAACGGGUUCGUGUUCUAACCCCGAGGACAAUCGUGCAAAUCCUACAGUCCCUGAUUUCGAUGAGGUCACGGAAGUAAGAAAGGAAUGAGCAGAAUUUCCAAAGCGACUAGAAGAUCGAUACAAGUGGUUGGAAGAAAAAUUUAGGGCGUUGGAAAGUGCUGAUUAUCAUACGGAAUGGAUGCCAAGGAGUUGAGCCUUGUCCCAGAUUUGGUACUCACUCCGAAGUUCAAAAUGCCAGAAUUUGAAAAAUAUAACAGAACCAGUUGCCCUGAGGCUCAUAUCACGAUGUUUUAUCGGAGAAUGACUGGUCAUGUCAAUAAUGAUCAGUUAUUGAUCCACUGUUUCUAGGACAAUUUGACCGGGGCUACAGCCAAAUGGUAUAAUCAGUUGAAUCGAAGCCAAGUUAAAUCGUGGAAAGACUUAGCACAGGCCUUUAUGAAACAAUAUAGCCAUGUGACCGAAAUAGCGCCUGAUAGGAUCACAUUACAGAACAUGGAGAAGAAGUCAAAUGAAAGUUUCAGGCAAUAUACUCAGAGAUGGAGAGAAGUUGCUACACAAGUCCAACCACCAUUAUUGGAGAAAAAAACAACCAUUCUUUUCAUUAAUACCUUGAAGGCACCUUUUAUUAAUCACAUGUUGGGAAGUGCAACUAAGAGUUUUGCGGAUAUAGUUAUGUCUGGUGAAAUGAUUGAGAAUGCAAUAAGGUACGGAAAGAUAGAGGCAGGGGAAAACACCAGGAGGUCAGCCUCGAAAAAGAAAGAAAAUGAAGUUAGCAAUGUGAAUAUGGGUUAUGCGAAACCAAUCAUAGUAAAUCAACCGAAAGUGAUAGCCACGGCCAGCAAGCUUCGCCAAGGCAAAAGCCCAAUACAAAGUAGAACACGGAGAAGCCCCAGUUUACUCCCAUUCCAGUAACGUAUCGGGAGCUGUACAAAAGUUUGUUUGAUGCACACGUCGUAUCUCCUUUUUAUUUAAAACUACUGCAACCCCCAUACCCCAAGUGGUAUGAUGCAAGUGCUCAAUGUGAAUAUCAUGCUGGAAUCGCGGGACACUCGAUAGAGAACUGCACCUCUUUUAAAAGGAUAGUCGAAAGGCUCAUCAACAUGGGUAUUGUGAAAUUCGAUGAUGCACCUGGUGUAGGGAAUCCGUUACUCAAUCAUACUGAUAAAGGGGUAAAUGCUGUAGUCGAGAAUAUGGAGAGGAGAAUUAAGUUGGAUGUGCUAGAAGUGAGAACCCCGAUGAGGGAGGUUUUGAAAAAGAUGGUAGAGAGAGGUCUAAUCAUGCAAGACUUUGGGAGUAAAUCCCAAGAAAAUUAUUGUGAGUUCCAUGGAGAGAAGGACCAUGAGAUAGAAAAAUGUAAUGAAUUUAGGGCCCUAGUACAGGCUCUAAUGGACAACAAAGAACUAGAGUUCUUUGAGUUUACUGAGAAGGAAGAUGUAUGCACCUCGGAGGAGAGGUUGAUAGAUAAGGUUUCUGAGGUCAAUCACCCAGUGGUGAUCAUUUCGCGACCAAAAAUUAAUGAAGUUGGAGCAAAAAUUACAUCGAGAGUUGUAAUCCAGGGACCCGCGGCUUUUCCGUAUAAGGAUAACAAAAGGGUGCCUUGGAAUUAUACCUGUAAUGUGACAUAUCCAGAGGAGGAGAGUCUGGUCAGCACGCCAAGUACAAAGGUCGAGCCUGGAAAAGGGAAGUCUGUAAUGAUUGAACAAGGGAAAGAGAGGAUAAAACCACUGGUUAAUGAACCAGUAACUAAAGAUGAAGCUAAAGAAUUUCUGAAGUUCCUAAAACACAGUGAGUAUAGUAUUGUGGAACAAUUGCACAAACAACCGGCACACACAUCGAUACUAGUUUUGCUUUAAAACUCGGAGGUUCACCAAAAUGCAUUGAUGAAGGUGUUAAACGAGACCUAUGUCACUGAAGAUAUUUUAGUGAACAAGCUAAACCGCUUUGUCAGUAACAUAAGUGCCGAUAACUUCAUCUCCUUCAGUGAUGAUGAAAUACCACCAAGGGGUAUGGAAUCCACCAAGGCUUUGCACAUCACCACUCGCUGCAAAGGGUAUACACUGCCGGGGGUAUUAAUUGAUAAUGGGUCAGCGCUGAAUGUUUUGCCCUUGUCCACAUUAAAUAGGUUACCAAUAGAUAGCUCUCAUAUGAAGACAUGCUAGAACAUAGUGACGGCAUUUGAUGGCACUGAGAGGAAAGUGAUGGGAAGAAUUGAGAUACCUCUGCAGAUCAGACCAAACACAUACGAGGUAGAUUUCCUUGUGAUGGAUAUUAUGCCUUCUUAUAAUUGCUUGUUGGGGAGGCCUUGGAUUCACUCGGCAGGGGCAAUACCGUUAUCUUUUCACCAAAAGUUAAAGCUGGUGACGGAGGGCCGCUUGAUAAUGAUAAAUGUUGAGGACAUUAUUGCAUCCGUUACUAAUAGUACACUGUAUAUAGAAAAUGAUGAUGAAGCAAUUGAAUGUUCCUUUCGGUCAUUGGAGUUUGUAAAUGCAAUUUUCAUCAUUGAAGGGGGCAGGGUCCCAAUGCCAAGAAUAUCUGAGGCUACGAGGAUGAGCUUGCAAUUAACAGAGGGAAAUGGAGCUUUUCCUGGAAGAGGACUUGGAAAGUAUCUUCAUGGACGAGUAAAGAGAGUAAAGAGCAGCCAAGAAAAUAUUUCUAAGGUGGUUAUUUUAUCAUUUUCUUUUCCCAUUCUUUUGCUUGAUUUUUAUUUCUAUUCAAAUCUGAAAAUACGAAAUAAAAGGGGAAAUGGUGAGUACCUCUCGAUUUGCUUCGCAAGAGGGGUUCUCCGGACCUCUGUUGGUCGUCACAAAGGCGAAUGAAGGCUUGGUGUUGGCCUUGUUUGCGGCUGGAAGAAAGAGGACAGUGGGGAGAAGAAAGAGUUUAGGGUUUUUUAGAAAAAAGAAAUAAAAGUUAAAGUUUUUUUAGCAAAAAUAAAAAGACUUUAAAACUAGC
rnacentral:lncRNA from 1 species